rnacentral:lncRNA from 1 species
CCGGGGCUGAGGGCUGAGGGGCCGCGGCCUCUCGCGGGCGGGGCCGGCCGCUGCCGGCUGCCGAGCGGAGACGUGUCGGUGAAUGCACGGCGCGCCUGUGGCUGCCCCGGGCCGGGGCUGCUCUUCGGGCGCCGCUCGGCCCGCGUUUCCCUCGGCUCUUGGUUCCGAAGUGGGGAUGGUGGCCGGGGCUGACCUACGUGGAUUUUGUAUGUGGAGUACAAGAAAGAAAACGUCCCAGAACACAUUGGUAGAAAGCUGAGUAUUCCGGAAGAGGUUUACAGUACAGUUCAGCUUUUACACACACAUGUAGCCAGCAGUAUGAGAAGUUUGGCCAUUCUUCAGCAUCGGUGUUGUCCUUAGCCACUAAACACAGAUGAAGCUCUGCAGUAGGCCGUUCUGUUCCUGGUAAGAUUUGCCUCUCUCUUUGACUGUAGUUUCUGACAUCAACGCAAAGUACAACUUGCUGACGUACUGUAGUCCACAGCAGGAGUGUUUUGCCACUGUACCGGUGUUACACUGUCAGAGGGCUCUUAGGAUAGCUAUUAAUUUAGAUGCUU